AAACGUAGGGGCUUUUCUGCGGAGCACCGCGCGGUCACGGGGCCAUCGCCCACAGCCCUAGCUGCGUCUGCUGUGCGCCGCCCCCUCCCCUGCCGACCCACGCAGCAGCGCUGCUGGCCCCUCCCCCGUCCCCGCCUCCGCCUGUGCCUCGGACUGCCGUCGUCGCCAUUGGCGCACUUCCCGGUGCCAUCUUCUUCUCCGCUCCGUUUCGAUCUCCGUGUUUGCUCCGUCUUCGCCUAAACUGUUGCUGGCCGCUCCUUCAUGCCGGCGUGUUGCUUGUGAUCUGGCGCGGGGCCAGCCUAUGUGGUCAUGAUGGUGUGAUGAGGUGAAUCAAGGGGAAUUCCAUCUAUUAUGCGUUGGGGGGGAGAGGACUCGUGUGGAGGACAGAAUAAGGGGAUUAUGGGAUGUUUAGGAUGGGUUUUCCUGCUUCCUACUUUUCUCCGUCUAUUUUCCCAUAAAUUGAUUUUCUAGGUGCUUAUUGUUCAGAUUUAAUUAAGUGCUAGAGUUUGUUCUUGCCAAAUCUCCAGCUUGACAUAUGUAUCAUGAUUUCCUAUUGCUAUCAGAAUUCUUCCCCGAAUUGUUUGGCUAUUGCAUCCGAGAUAAAAUUCCACCAAACAUUGUAUUUCUAAUGAGAAUGCUUGAUCAAUUUAGAAGAUCUUAACAUGGAAUGUUUGUCUGUGAUAGGUUCAGUCAAAAGGGUUCAUCAUGUUGUUGCAGUACAUUAAGUUUGUGUUUGUAAUGGUUACUGUUGAGUUAUGUGUUUCAGUACCUUUCUCUGUUAUUUCCUUCUAUUUUCUAUAAGCCAGCAUGGUUGUUUGCGCUUUAAUUGUCGCAGCAAAGCCCGGUUAUACUUCUAAAGCUCCAUUAAUUGAUGUAUUGUUCAGAAAGCUUUGACUGCAGUGGUCUCUUUGGAAGUGCAAGAAUAGUAUUCUUCAUAGGAUAAUGACCGAUUCGAGGCAAAUGAAUAAAUGAGCUCCAUGUUGUUUGCGAUGUCAUGGUAUCGUUAUUGGUUAUCAGGAAAGAGUCAGGCCAUACACUGCUCUUGGCACUUAUUGUAAGAGACAUGAUGAUAAACCCAUGGCUUUUUGUUCAUCAAGAUUAAAUGCUUCGAUGGGAGCAGCUUGUGGAAAGUUGUAAUGUCUUCCCUGAAGUAUUAUGUUAGAUUUACUUUACUUCCAAGGAAAUGUAAUCUCCAUUUUUUUUAUAAUUCCUUGCUGAAUUGUAACUUGCUAAGCAGAUGUAUGCUCAUCUGGUAGUUCAGAUUCAGGACAGUUAAACUAUACUGGUCAUUAUGUUGCCAGGAAUAAAGGGGGCAUGCCAUACGGCACCUCUAUGCUGGUCAUUAUGUUGCCAGGAAUAAAGGGGGCAUGCCAUACGGCACCUCCUCAAUGUG